AGACCCGGGGAGCGAGGCAGAGAGGGAGGAGUGUGUGUGUGAGUGUGUAUGUGUGUGUGUGUGAACGCGGGAGAGAGAGCGAGAGAAGAGAAGCGAGGGUGGGGGGAAAAGGGAAAGAAGAUUUUCUCUAUGUAUAUAAAGAUGGCCACGUUAGCAAACGGACAAGCAGACAAUACCACCCUGAGUAGCAAUCACACCAACCCCAGCACCAACGGGCACAUGAACGGAUUAACCCACAGUCCCGGAAACCCAGCCACCAUCCCCAUGAAGGACCACGAUGCCAUUAAGCUCUUCAUUGGGCAGAUCCCCCGCAACUUGGACGAGAAGGACCUCAAGCCGCUCUUCGAGGAGUUCGGGAAGAUCUACGAACUGACGGUGCUGAAGGACAGGUUCACUGGCAUGCACAAAGGCUGUGCCUUCCUAACAUACUGCGAAAGGGAGUCUGCCCUGAAGGCCCAGAGCGCGCUGCAUGAACAGAAGACACUGCCAGGGAUGAACAGACCAAUCCAGGUGAAGCCAGCGGACAGCGAAAGCCGAGGAGAAGACAGAAAACUCUUUGUGGGGAUGCUCAAUAAGCAGCAGUCAGAAGACGACGUGCGCAGGCUAUUCGAGGCGUUCGGGAACAUUGAGGAGUGCACGAUCCUCCGGGGACCCGAUGGCAACAGCAAAGGGUGUGCAUUUGUGAAAUACUCCUCGCAUGCAGAGGCCCAAGCAGCCAUCAACGCCUUGCAUGGCAGCCAGACAAUGCCGGGGGCCUCCUCGAGCCUGGUGGUGAAGUUUGCAGACACGGACAAGGAGCGUACCAUGAGGCGCAUGCAGCAAAUGGCAGGACAGAUGGGCAUGUUCAAUCCCAUGGCUAUCCAGUUUGGAGCAUACGGCGCCUACGCACAGGCACUGAUGCAGCAGCAGGCGGCGAUCAUGGCAUCCGUGGCACAAGGGGGCUACCUGAAUCCCAUGGCAGCCUUCGCCGCAGCCCAGAUGCAGCAGAUGGCAGCGCUGAACAUGAACGGCCUGGCUGCUGCUCCCAUGACGCCAACCUCAGGUGGGAGCACACCUCCUGGCAUCACUGCACCGGCUGUGCCUAGCAUCCCGUCCCCAAUUGGGGUGAAUGGUUUCACAGGCCUCCCACCGCAGGCUAAUGGGCAGCCCACCGCAGAAGCUGUGUUCGCUAAUGGCAUCCACCCUUACCCAGCACAGAGCCCGACUGCAGCAGACCCCUUGCAACAAGCCUACGCUGGAGUGCAGCAGUACGCAGGUCCUGCUUAUCCUGCUGCUUAUGGCCAGAUUAGCCAAGCGUUUCCACAGCCGCCUCCCAUGAUCCCACAGCAACAGAGAGAAGGACCAGAGGGCUGUAACCUGUUUAUCUACCAUCUGCCCCAGGAGUUUGGGGAUGCUGAGCUGAUGCAGAUGUUCCUGCCUUUCGGUAAUGUCAUCUCCUCGAAAGUGUUUGUGGAUCGGGCGACAAACCAAAGUAAAUGCUUUGGGUUUGUGAGUUUUGACAACCCCGCCAGUGCCCAGGCUGCCAUCCAGGCUAUGAAUGGUUUCCAGAUUGGCAUGAAGAGGCUGAAGGUGCAGCUGAAGAGGCCGAAGGAUGCUAACCGCCCCUACUGAAGAGUUGUGGGAACCGCUGGAUACACAUGACUAGCACAGAGCCAGUCAAAUCCACCACAGUCUCGAGCUGAGCUAGGAAAAAAGUUCACGUAAUGACAUGAAAGUGGAGAAUACAGUCCCCCAGUCCGGCAGCAGCUGAAUGGGCCACAUUUAGAAAAAUAUAUAUAUAUAUAUUUUAAAAAAACAGGAACUGUUGGAUUACAUCUUUGACAUAUCAGCAAAUAUCAAUCAAGCUGAAGACUUCAGACUUAUUCUCUCUUUGAUUGUUUAGACUGUAACAUUUCUUCAAGAAAAGUAUCACGUCUGCUGACUUCGAAGGACACGGGCUGGAAACAAACAAAAAUUAAUAAAUAAAUCAGAACAGGAACAAGAUCAACCAGGAUUUCUGAAGAGACAUUGAUAUCACCACAGCGGCUUUUCUCCAAACAGGAAAUGCAAACCUGGAUACGGACAAAGGAGUGCCUGUUUGCCACCAAGGAUGCGGCUACCAUGUUGACCCCAUGGUAAUGGUCACUGAGCAUCUUUAUCUGUCAUUCCUUAGCUAUAUAGGGACCAAAGGACAAAACUUUUUAUCGCAGACUUGUAGCUGUAUGUAAAAUAUGGAAGUUCUUUGCUUUUCUCUGAGCUGUUCCUAAAACAGUUUUUGAGAGCAAUUAUAUGAAAUAUGUAAAAAUUAAAAAAAAAUGCUUAAAUGCUUUUAAAAUGGCAAGAUAAUAGUUCUUUGAUACUUUGGGAGGUUCUUUGGUUAUACAUUAAUUAGAGUCUAUGAAACUUUCAUAUGGUUUUCUGUAUAAUACGUAAGGAUCGCGCUGCUCAAAGCAGGUAAGAUGAUGUCUGUGAAAAGCAAAAAAAAAGUAAAGUAAAUAAAUAAAAAGGCAUAGCAAAGAGAAAAGAAAGAUGGUUGAUAGUAAAAAACAAAAACGGUUUGUAAAUGCUUCUAACUCUCCCCGUUUAAAAUCCUAAUAGUUGUACAGAAUUUAAAAAAAGAAAAAACUUUAAAAUACCUAUAUAAUAGAAGAAAAAUUAGACAACAAAAAGCAAAAAAAAAAAAUACUACAUAGAAGUUAGCGUUAAUGCUAAAAACAAAGAUGUUGUAGAAUUGUAAUUUUUGUAGAGUUUAGACUGAGCAUAAAUUCCUACUCUCUGCCAAUUGCUGUUGGAUGCUGUUAUUUAUCGAGGAGAAAAAGAAGAGAAAUGCUAUUUCGGCAGCUUUUUUAACUGCAAGCAUUCCAGCUAUUAACAAAAAUAAACAAACGAAACUCGAUUCUUGUAGACAAUGCAAACGGGAAACAAAACAGCUGUCUUUUUAUCCGAUGUAGUUCUAACUUGAACAACAAAACACAGCUAUACGCUUCAUGUCUUCAUGAUCUGCUGUCCGCAAAUUCCCAUCAUCCUAUGCUUCAGUAGCUUCCAUAUUUGCUCUAGAAACCUUCAGAGCAAGGGGUUAGCCUAGAACCUUAAUCUUAAAAAAUAAAAAUAAUAUAAAAAAAAAUAAAAA